GCAAUUUACAAAAUGCUGCCUUGCUGUCUACUGCCUACAUAGGUGAAGAGCCUCCAAGGCUGACUUAUCCUAACCUAUAACAUGCUGUUAAAUUAGGACCAUGCUAAUGCCAAACUCUGAAAUUAAAGGUUGAGGAUUCAGAUUUCAAUACAGUUUACUAAGCUGAAAGUACAAUUGCUCCAUAUGUACAGAGUUUCAGAAUAAAAAUACAUUACAAUAUUGACUAAAAUAGUCCAUUUUAAUUAGAUUUAUCUGAGCUUAUUGCAAUUCAUCAUGCAACUGCAUUAUACGAAUGAAGGUGAUGCUGCCAUCGGAAGGACAUUACAGCACCAAACUAGUCAAGAUCGGCCCACUUUAUUUCAAGGAAAGCUGAUUGAAAGCUUGCCUUCCAGCAGUUCCGUUCUUACAUUCAGGCACUUGAGGUGAUUUGUAUUCCUUUCUUAGCCCUCCCCAGCAAGAAGAACCAGUCUAUAUCCUCAGACAAUGAAUCUUUAGUGGGUUUUAUUUCAACACUGUUAAAGAGCUGGCAUGGUGUUUAGAAACCAUCAGUGUAUGUACACUCUUCCAUAGAGCCGCCAAAGCAUCUGAAGUGGUGCUCACGUUGCAUGAGGACAUUCAGUUUUGAAUGGGAGCUCAAUCCAGAGAAUGAGUUAAGGUCCAUCUGCGAUGUAUUUUUGAGAUAACACUCUAUUUAAAAGACGUACUUGACUGUCUGUAGCCUCUAACCGAUCAUUGUUACCCAUUAUAAAAUAAUGUCCUAUGUCUAAAAAGGCUCCUUCGACUCCUCUUAGAAACUGUAGCAGUAUGUGUUACUUCGAGGGGUGUAAAAGGGAAUUCUUUUCCAUUGGAAAAGCAAAGAGAUUGCAUGUUAUGGCCUAAAGGUCAGAUAUUGGGAAUGCUUUGCUUCUGUGUUCAUACCUGUAUUCAGCUGAAUAUGUAAGUGUAAAUAUGACCAACAUCCUCUCUGUCUCUUUUUUUCCAUUCACAUUGCUUUGUUUUAACAUUUACUGUGCUUUCCUCUGUUAUCUUGAGAGAUUUUUUUGUUGUUUUUCUUUUGUUUGUGAAUGUGGGAACUCGGGCCUGUAUUUGCCCGAGAGUCCUCGUCUGGUGAGACAGAAGGGAAAAUGCUCAUGCUCUUCAUUUCUCUUUGCUGUUGCACACAUUUUGAGUUUUGUAAACCAGUUUGUUCAUUUUGAAGAAAUUCCAUUCUUGUAAAUAUGUCCCUCUACAAGUAAAAAAUUGUAUAUUUUUACGGACUCUGAGUUAUUAAUACUUCAUUUGCAAAUAAAAUAUUCAACGACAA